UCUGAUGUGAAAGACUUCGGCUUAACCGGACGAAGUAGCAUCGGAAACUAGGAUAACUUGAGUGCAGAAGAGGGUAGUGGAACGUCCAUGUGUAGCGGUGGAAUGCGUAGAUAUAUGGAAGGAACACCAGUGGCGAAGGCGGCUACCUGGUCUGCAACUGACGCUGAGACUCGAAAGCAUGGGUAGCGAACAGGAUUAGAUACCCUGGUAG
rnacentral:rRNA from 1 species